rnacentral:rRNA from 1 species
AUCGCUGGGUAGCUAUGUGCGGAAGGGAUAAGUGCUGAAAGCAUCUAAGCAUGAAGCCCCCCCUCAAGAUGAGAUUUCCCACAGUUUUAACUGGUAAGAUCCCUGAAAGAUGAUCAGGUUGAUAGGUCCGGGGUGGAAGCGCGGUGACGCGUGUAGCUGACGGAUACUAAUCGAUCGAGGACUUAACCAA